AAGGGCCUACGGGGCGCAGCAGUGGGGAAUCUUCCGCAAUGGGCGAAAGCCUGACGGAGCAACGCCGCGUGAUCGAAUGAAGGCCUUCGGGUUGUAAAGAUCUGUUGACAGGGACGAAUAAGCAAUGCAAAUAGUUUUGUUUAUGACGGUACCUGUUUAGAAAGCUCCGGCUAACUACGUGCCAGCAGCCGCGGUAAUACGUAGGGAGCAAGCGUUGUCCGGAAUUACUGGGCGUAAAGGGCGCGUAGGGGGGCGCUUAAGUCAGGUGUGAA
rnacentral:rRNA from 1 species